CAUAAACCCAUUGAAUAUAAAGGCCCAGAAACUGGGUUGUCUGUGGAGGCAUAUUGUCGUCGUCAUGAAAUUUCUGUAACUGGAGGAAAUGUCCCGCCUUUCAUGUCAUUUCAAUCCACUGGUUUUCCUUCAGAGAUAUUAAGAGAGGUGCGAUAUUUGCUCCAGAGAGGAGCCAAAUGUCGUACACUGUGUCACCCUGCUUUUGGGACUUGCUUAUUAUUGGAGUGCUCUUACAGGUCCUUCAAUUCAUGUGAAGGGCUUCUUGACUCACACUGAGGACUUGCCUUCUUGGUGAUUUAUAAACUGGCCUCUGGUCAGAAGAGAAGAAGAAUCAUACUCUCACUCUUGCUCACAUCAGCAAAUAGUGCCUGAUAACGCUAGAGGAUGAGGCUUCUUCUUUUCUUGGAAACUUGCAUAAGUUCAUGACAAGCCAGUCCUAUUUGGAGCAGUAGUGCACUACAUCUGCUUAUACAGAUCCUUAAUUUUCUUUUCUUCUUUUUGUUCCC